GUGGGGAUGUGGCUCAAGCGGUAGCGCGCUCACCUGGCUUGCGUGCGGCCUGGGUUCAAUCCUCAGCACCACA
rnacentral:tRNA from 1 species